AUUGUGACUUAGCUCUAGGGCCUAGCUCCGUUGUUAUAGGACCCUUGGGCAUUGGCGACUGAGGGCAUCUGCAAUGCCGGAUGCGAUCGGCACCUCUUCACCUUGAGCUGUCUUAACAAUGGAUGACUACAGAAGUGACUUUGAAUCAGAUGACUCCUGCACUGGCUCAGAGACAGGCCAUCAUGCAGCAUCUGAGAAUGGCAGCAGACUUGAGGCUGAUGAGGCCGAUGACAGAAAUUACUCAGAUGACUCUGAGGGACAAUAUUCUUACAGCGAGGGGGACCAGUAUGAGGCGGACACCGGUGCCGCCGCUGCCGCCGCCGCCGAGUCUGAUGUCGCCAGCAGUGGCA